AUCUGAAGCCACGCCCCUUCUCAAUGCCAAAGGAAGAUUAGGUAGGUUUGAAAUUUAUUUUGAUUUGAUUCCUUAUCUGAUAAGGUUUCCACCUCAUCCUAACUACCUUUGGAUGCCACAUUAAAAGAAGUCUCUUUUGUGCAACAAAAGAUUUUCAUGAGAAAAAUAUUUUUUAUCAUGGAAUUUCUUAGGGGGCGUGACAUGCUUUGGCAUG
rnacentral:lncRNA from 1 species